GUGUUACAAGAGCUUACGCAUGGAAAUUGGUUUCCUCUAUGGAUACAAUUGUUGCUGGAUACUGAAGUGCCGAGUGCCCGUGGAAGCCUCAGGAAACCCCGUAGCCUUGUUAGCACAUUGUGCCCUGUAUCGGUCAGGUUUUAUGUUGGGAUCAAAGUCCGAAUCGCAGACGUGCAGAGGACGAACAGAUGAAGAUUCCCAGUAUUGGAUGGCGAGCCCCAGCCCAAGAGUCAAAUGAACUGGUAGAUUGUAGCCCGACAGGCUAUAA